ensembl:lncRNA
GCAACGCAUUAGUGCAGAUUUGGUUAAAACAAAUGAUUACCAGACUUUUUUUUUUCCCUCUCUCUAGAGUUUUGCCUGUUGAUUGUUGAGGACCAUGAGUGCUGGAUUGAAUGUGAAGCCUGUGUCCCAAAAUCACAGCAGCUCUGGAAUCCCUCUGCCUCGGAACAUGAGCACAUUCUCCAAACAGAAUGCCAAGUACUCCAGCAGCAGCCUCGUAUGCCCACCUGGGCAGUUUCAGCCAGGCAGACGUAUGACCUCCUUCUCGUCUUCCACUUCCAGCAUUGCUCCUAUAACUAACUCUAAGGAACUGCUAAAGGAGGCAUCAUCAAGGCUUCAGUAUCAACAGCAGAAAGCUACUCCGAUGAGGGCCUCACUUGAUCGAAUGAUCAGCUCUCGCUCUGCCAACAGCAGCCCACAGAUUCCCAAAAGGAACAUGCUCCGCUCCAAAGACACGCUGGACCUCCAGAGAGGCUCGCUGCCCCAUGAAACACUUCGAGAGCUGGCAAGGAAUGGCAACAAGAACUGGAGAUCUGGUCAAGCCCAUUUCAGGGGUUUGGAUAAUGGUGAUGUUCAGCCACCUUCACGUAUGCAGGAGUUCCAGACAGGCAGAGCAAAGGAAGGUGUCCCUCGUCUCAAAACAACCAAUGGGAAUCUCAUAUGGGGGACAUCAUCUGGUCAUCAAUCUGGUCAUCAACUUGCCUUUAACAAGCAAAGAAGCAAAUUUACAAAUGGAGGCAUAACUGAGAGAGAAAUUAUGUCUUACAAGCUUUCAGGCCAGAAUACCAGAGCAGCUGUUGUCAAUUCUGGAGGUAGUGAGUCCCCUCGAAUGGCUGCAGUGGCACCUUUCAGGUUCAGGCUUCAAGUUCAGGAGGAUACAGAUGCGUCCCCUUUGGACGAUGUCAGCGACUGCUCUUCGGACUCUAUGGAAGUGUGCUGUGAAGAUUUAGGUAAGCCCAUUCUCAAAACGCCUUAAAGUUCGUGACCAGUAUGUUACACUUGCUUUAGGCCUACUAUUAAAGCCCUUUCGACUCUGAAUGUGGAUGUAAUUCAAGCCUGGCAGAAUUAGAUGUAAUUACUGUCUGGGCAAUUGCUAGGUGCAAUGAGAACAUGCUAUUUCGUCUCUUUCCACAUUCAGAACCCUGC